rnacentral:tRNA from 1 species
UCCUGGUGAGUACAGUGGUAAGAGCAUCCCCAUCUAUUGGGCGGGAGACUGGUGAUGAUUCCCUCACAGGGAGGCA